rnacentral:rRNA from 1 species
AUACGGAGGGGGCAAGCGUUGUUCGGAAUUACUGGGCGUAAAGAGUACGUAGGCGGAUCGUUAAGUUAGAGGUGAAAUCCCAGGGCUCAACCCUGGAACUGCCUUUAAUACUGGCGAUCUAGAGAUCGAGAGAGGUGAGUGGAAUUUCCAGUGUAGAGGUGAAAUUCGUAGAUAUUGGAAAGAACACCAGUGGCGAAGGCGGCUCACUGGCUCGAUACCGACGCUGAGGUACGAAAGCGUGGGGAGCAAACAGGAUUAGAUACCCUAGUAGUCC